ACUUGCCGUCUGGGCUCUCCAGGUUCGGCCUGCUGCUUUCACAGCCCAGAUCUUCGGCGUCCCCGAGACGCAGCCCGGCGCCCGGCCCGGCCCGGCCCUCUGCACAGCCCCACUUCAGGCCACGCCGUUUCCUUGACCUUCCCCCGGCAGGGUCUGAAGCGUCACCGUCCGUCUAGAGCAGAAUCACGCAGGCCCCUGCCCUGCCGGUGAGGUCGGCGCCGCGCUCCGGAGAGUCGGUUCCUCCCGAUUCAGACCCAUAUGGCUUCAGAUGGAACCAUCAUUUGUGUUCCGUCAUGACCGGCUUGCAAGGUAGCAAAGGGAAACAAACGUCUCGUUUUCAGCCUGUCCCCGCCACCUUGAAAUAAAACCGGCAAAAAUAAAAAGAGCAUUCUGGGAAGUACUUCAUCAUUUCAACGCUCACGAAUUCAAAACAUAAACAAAGGGUUCCGAGUGCCCCGGCCAGGGGCGCGGGGCGCACGGCUGGCCCGGGGCAGGUCUACCCCGAGCCCCGGAGCGAGAGCGAGUGCCUGAGCAACAUCCGCGAGUUCCUGC
rnacentral:sRNA from 1 species